CUCAGAUUGAACGCUGGCGGCAGGCCUAACACAUGCAAGUCGAGCGGUAACAGAAAGUAGCUUGCUACUUUGCUGACGAGCGGCGGACGGGUGAGUAAUGCUUGGGAACAUGCCUUGAGGUGGGGGACAACAGUUGGAAACGACUGCUAAUACCGCAUAACGUCUACGGACCAAAGGGGGCUUCGGCUCUCGCCUUUAGAUUGGCCCAAGUGGGAUUAGCUAGUUGGUGAGGUAAUGGCUCACCAAGGCGACGAUCCCUAGCUGGUUUGAGAGGAUGAUCAGCCACACUGGGACUGAGACACGGCCCAGACUCCUACGGGAGGCAGCAGUGGGGAAUAUUGCACAAUGGGCGCAAGCCUGAUGCAGCCAUGCCGCGUGUGUGAAGAAGGCCUUCGGGUUGUAAAGCACUUUCAGUCAGGAGGAAAGGUUAGUAGUUAAUACCUGCUAGCUGUGACGUUACUGACAGAAGAAGCACCGGCUAACUCCGUGCCAGCAGCCGCGGUAAUACGGAGGGUGCGAGCGUUAAUCGGAAUUACUGGGCGUAAAGCGUACGCAGGCGGUUUGUUAAGCGAGAUGUGAAAGCCCCGGGCUCAACCUGGGAACUGCAUUUCGAACUGGCAAACUAGAGUGUGAUAGAGGGUGGUAGAAUUUCAGGUGUAGCGGUGAAAUGCGUAGAGAUCUGAAGGAAUACCGAUGGCGAAGGCAGCCACCUGGGUCAACACUGACGCUCAUGUACGAAAGCGUGGGGAGCAAACGGGAUUAGAUACCCCGGUAGUCCACGCCGUAA
rnacentral:rRNA from 1 species